CCUACGGGAGGCAGCAGUGGGGAAUAUUGGACAAUGGGGGGAACCCUGAUCCAGCCAUGCCGCGUGUGUGAAGAAGGCCCUCGGGUUGUAAAGCACUUUCAGUGAGGAAGAACGCCUGGUGGUUAAUACCCAUCAGGAAAGACAUCACUCACAGAAGAAGCACCGGCUAACUCCGUGCCAGCAGCCGCGGUAAUACGGAGGGUGCGAGCGUUAAUCGGAAUUACUGGGCGUAAAGCGCGCGUAGGUGGCUUGAUAAGCCGGUUGUGAAAGCCCCGGGCUCAACCUGGGAACGGCAUCCGGAACUGUCAAGCUAGAGUGCAGGAGAGGAAGGUAGAAUUCCCGGUGUAGCGGUGAAAUGCGUAGAGAUCGGGAGGAAUACCAGUGUCGAAGGCGGCCUUCUGGACUGACACUGACACUGAGGUGCGAAAGCGUGGGUAGCAAACAGGAUUAGAUACCCGAGUAGUC
rnacentral:rRNA from 1 species